GACGAACGCUGGCGGCGUGCUUAACACAUGCAAGUCGAACGGAAAGGCCUCUUUCGGGGGGUACUCGAGUGGCGAACGGGUGAGUAACACGUGAGUAACCUGCCCUUGACUUUGGGAUAACUUCAGGAAACUGGGGCUAAUACCGGAUAGGAGCUCCUGCUGCAUGGUGGGGGUUGGAAAGUUUCGGCGGUUGGGGAUGGACUCGCGGCUUAUCAGCUUGUUGGUGGGGUAGUGGCUUACCAAGGCUUUGACGGGUAGCCGGCCUGAGAGGGUGACCGGCCACAUUGGGACUGAGAUACGACCCAGACUCCUACAGGAGGCAGCAGUGCCGAAUAUUCCACAAUGGGCGGAAGCCUGAUGCAGCAACGCCGCGUGCGGAAUGACGGCCUUCGGGUUGUAAACCGCUUUCGCCUGUGACGAAGCGUGAGUGACGGUAAUGGGUAAAGAAGCACCGGCUAACUACGUG
rnacentral:rRNA from 1 species